GAGUUUGAUUAUGGCUCAGAUUGAACGCUGGCGGCAGGCUUAACACAUGCAAGUCGAACGAUGAUUACUAGCUUGCUAGUAUGAUUAGUGGCGAACGGGUGAGUAAUGCUUAGGAAUCUGCCUAUUAGUGGGGGACAACAUUCCGAAAGGAAUGCUAAUACCGCAUACGUCCUACGGGAGAAAGCAGGGGAUCUUUUGACCUUGCGCUAAUAGAUGAGCCUAAGUCGGAUUAGCUAGUUGGUGGGGUAAAGGCCUACCAAGGCGACGAUCUGUAGCUGGUCUGAGAGGAUGAUCAGCCACACUGGGACUGAGACACGGCCCAGACUCCUACGGGAGGCAGCAGUGGGGAAUAUUGGACAAUGGGCGAAAGCCUGAUCCAGCCAUGCCGCGUGUGAAGAAGGCCUUUUGGUUGUAAAGCACUUUAAGUGGGGAGGAAAAGCUAAUAAUUAAUACCCUAUAG
rnacentral:rRNA from 1 species